GCUGGGCGUGUUGGCUCACGCCUGUAAUCCCAGCACUUUGGGAGGCUGAGGUGGGUGGAUCACUUGAGGUCAGGAGUUCAAGACCAGCCUGACCAACAGGGUGAAACCCCGUCUCUA
ensembl:misc_RNA Metazoa_SRP Metazoan signal recognition particle RNA